rnacentral:rRNA from 1 species
AUACGUAGGGAGCGAGCGUUGUCCGGAAUUACUGGGUGUAAAGGGAGCGUAGGCGGGAGUGCAAGUCAGAUGUGAAAUGCAUGGGCUUAACCCAUGAGCUGCAUUUGAAACUGUAUCCCUUGAGUAUCGGAGAGGCAGGGGGAAUUUCUAGAGUUGCGGGGAAAUGCGUAGAUAUUAGGAGGAACACCAGUGGCGAAGGCGGCCUGCUGGACGACAACUGACGCUGAGGCGCGAAAGCGUGGGGAGCAAACAGGAUUAGAUACCCUGGUAGUCCACGCUGUAAACGAUGAAUACUAGGUGUGGGGGGACUGACCCCCUCCGUGCCGCAGUUAACACAAUAAGUAUUCCACCUGGGGAGUACGAUCGCAAGAUUGAAACUCAAAGGAAUUGACGGGG